UUAAAGAUAAGUUAAAUAAACUAUUGGACUCAUACUCCAUGCAUAGAUACAAAAUCUUCUUUAAA
rnacentral:tRNA from 1 species